CCUUCCCUUCCCUCCCUUUUACACUUUCUCCGCCCUGUUGGAGCGGUGUGUGGGGUACAGUAAGAUGUAUGCGCUGGAUAUUGCAUAACUUGGCGGAGCGGAGGGGGCCGAAGGAGGAAGAAAGGGAAGGCAGCUGACAUUGACGUAAUCGCCCAAUGAAACAUAUACAACCAUUCAGUUGACACACAGUGAACCUCCGCAUCUUACAAUACAACAAAUCCACAAUACAAAACCCAUAAAACACUAUUUCACCCCAUGAUGAUAGAUGAUCUUAUCCAGCAGUUUCAUGUAGAUGUUAAACAGGAGCAGAGAAAGCACUGACCCCUGUGGGACCCUUGAUCUGACCUCUCACUACCAAUCAACACGAACUGAAAAUGGUCUCAGAGGAAGGAAGUGAAACAGGAGUGUGCCCUCUUCCAACCACUGGAGUUGCUCAAGAAGGAUACCAUGGUUGAUGUUAUUGAAAGUCGCUGAGAGUUUUGCAAUAUAACUGCCAGAGAGUAAGGCAGAAUGUGGAACCCCUAUCUCUGAUACACAAGUACAGUUCAAGAGAAGAUGCCAGGUGACACAUUUUCUGGAAGAGAAAGGUUCACGGCAAAAAUUAUCUACUUCAUGGGGCAGGGGAUGGAGGAUUUUUGGGAAAAAAAGGUUUGAAAAUUCAAUUCUUCUAUUUUUUUAGUUUAAAAUUCUUAGCAAGUUGCAGUACAAUAUUUAAAAUGCAUAUUUCAAAUAAUAAUUAAGUUUUAUUUGUGUAUUUGCUGAAAAUGUAAAGUGCAAUAUAUUUAGUUCACAUUUGAAUAUAAAGUUAUUUAUCCACCAUCCCUACAAAAUUUCUCAUCUCCCAUAAAAUAUGUGCUGUGGCGAGGCUAGUUCAUACAGGCACAUUUUUCCUUCCCUUCUGAAAAUAUAUAUUUAUAGGAAUAUAUAAAUAGCAUCUUAAUACUGUAACUAAAAGGUUAGAAUAUGCAAGCCGCCUGGAUAAGGUUACCAAGAAUGAAAUCAAUAAAGAAGGUUAUAGCUCACAUUCCUAAUCAUUUGUGCAUAAAUAUUCUAAACUGGCAUUGGUAUAUUAUAAAAAAUAUACUACACAUGAUUCUCAACUUCCCCUUCUGCUGUUGGCUAUUAAUGCAAUUUUAUCUCUUUUUUCCCCCAAGUCAGUGGCUUUAUUAAGAGGCCUUGAAUGAAUGGAAGAGGAGGCAAAUGGCUUAUGCACUUUUCAACAGGAUAAGGGUGAAGUACUCAUACCUUCUGUCCCUAGUCAAAGGAAGGGUUAAUGGAUUCUACUCUAUCUCACCCCAUAUUUUAAAUCUAUAGAUUUAUAUAGUUUAUAAUGCUAGUUUAUAAUACUAGCUGAUAUAAAUGGGCUAGUAUUAAGUAUUCUGAUUCUAUUUGAAGUAACAGUGGAGUAGGAUGUGACAAACUUUAUUGGAUGUCCUGGUUAUUGAAUGUAAUGCCCAGACAACAUUUUCAGUGAGCCUGUUCUGGAAACUUUCUUUUCUAUGCUCAGAAUGAAGUUUUGAAAGUGAAAACCACUGAUAAAUUACAGAUUUGUUCUUAUUUCCUGUAAUUUAUGAAUUGAAUACCCAUCAACCUCACACAAUUACAAUUAGGGAAACCUUAUUUUGUGACAGUGGGCAUAACUUCUGGAUAUAAUGCUCGGUUAUUGAGAAAUGAAACACAGCAUUUGUCUCCCUACACUUUUUAUUUCACACCAGUAGCCUGCUUGAUAGUUUACUGUAUGGGACCAGAACAAAUGACCUUAUAGUUGGCAAAUGAAAUAAAGGUGACAGAAUAAAAAUGCACGGGCUAAGACAAGUCAGAUCCUAGUGAAAAAAUAAAUAAUGUAUGACUAACCUGCCUAGGACAGUUUUUUUCUAUGAGAGCUCUUCCUAAAACAGAUGGGAAAACUACAGUACUCCUAUUCCAAAAUUGAAAGGGGCUUCAUUUGAUGAAGAAAAAGUCGGAUACAUUUUGUCUCUUUCCUUUGUUUGUCAGAACUGAUUUAUUUACCCUUUAAAAAAGUCUCUAUAGUACUGGUAAUGUAGCGACAUCAUUUUAUUUCAUCUGCGGCUUAUAGGGAACAUAAAUAUUUCUAUUUGUUUGGGCAAUAGAUAUAUUUCUUCAAAAAUCCAGACUGAUGCAAAUAGAAAACUGUUGAAAAAUUGUGUUGGUCUCCCAUGGAAAAUGAGACACGCAUGCAGGUAUCUCGGGAUGGGAGCCCAGAGCUGACUCCAACACCCUAUUUUAUUGUUACUAACGUUUUUACAUCACACAGCGUAAUCAAAAGACGUAUAUAGGGGUGGUUACAAUGUAUCAAA